GUGGACGCAUCACUGGUGUUCGGGUUGUCAUGCCAAUGGCACUGCCCGGUAGCUAAAUGCGGAAGAGAUAAGUGCUGAAAGCAUCUAAGCACGAAACUUGCCCCGAGAUGAGUUCUCCCUGAGACUUAGAGUCUCCUGAAGGAACGUUGAAGACGACGACGUUGAUAGGCCGGGUGUGUAAGCGCAGCGAUGCGUUGAGCUAACCGGUACUAAUGAACCGUGAGGCUUAACCUU
rnacentral:rRNA from 8 species